rnacentral:rRNA from 1 species
GGGGAAUAUUGCACAAUGGGGGAAACCCUGAUGCAGCGAUGCCGCGUGGAGGAAGAAGGUUUUCGGAUUGUAAACUCCUGUCGUAAGGGAAGAGGAAGGACUGUACCUUACAAGAAAGCUCCGGCUAACUACGUGCCAGCAGCCGCGGUAAUACGUAGGGAGCGAGCGUUGUCCGGAAUGACUGGGUGUAAAGGGAGCGUAGGCGGGAUGGCAAGUCAGAUGUGAAACCUGAGGGCUCAACCUUCAGACUGCAUUUGAAACUGCUGUUCUUGAGUGAAGUAGAGGUAAGCGGAAUUCCUGGUGUAGCGGUGAAAUGCGUAGAGAUCAGGAGGAACAUCGGUGGCGAAGGCGGCUUACUGGGCUUUUACUGACGCUGAGGCUCGAAAGCGUGGGGAGCAAACAGGAUUAGAUACCCUGGUAGUCCACGCUGUAAACGAUGAUUACUAGGUGUGGGGGGAUUGACCCCUUCCGUGCCGCAGUUAACACAAUAAGUAAUCCACCUGGGGAGUACGACCGCAAGGUUGAAACUCAAAGGAAUUGACGGGGGCCCGCACAAGCAGUGGAGUAUGUGGUUUAAUUCGAAGCAACGCGAAGAACCUUACCAGGUCUUGACAUCGAGUGACGUAUCCAGAGAUGGAUAUUUCCUUCGGGACACAAAGACAGGUGGUGCAUGGUUGUCGUCAGCUCGUGUCGUGAGAUGUUGGGUUAAGUCCCGCAACGAGCGCAACCCUUAUCAUUAGUUGCUACGCAAGAGCACUCUAAUGAGACUGCCGUUGACAAAACGGAGGAAGGUGGGGAUGACGUCAAAUCAUCAUGCCCCUUAUGACCUGGGCUACACACGUACUACAAUGGCGAUCAAACAGAGGGAAGCAAGACAGCGAUGUGGAGCCAAUCCCAAAAAAUCGCCCCAGUUCAGAUUGCAGGCUGCAACUCGCCUGCAUGAAGUCGGAAUUGCUAGUAAUCGCAGAUCAGCAUGCUGCGGUGAAUACGUUCCCG